UACGAAGGGUGCAAGCGUUACUCGGAAUUACUGGGCGUAAAGCGUGCGUAGGUGGUGAGUUAAGUCUGAUGUGAAAUCCCCGGGCUCAACCUGGGAAUGGCAUUGGAUACUGGCUCGCUAGAGUGUGGCAGAGGGGGGUAGAAUUCCACGUGUAGCAGUGAAAUGCGUAGAGAUGUGGAGGAAUACCGAUGGCGAAGGCAGCCCCCUGGGCCAACACUGACGCUCAUGCACGAAAGCGUGGGGAGCAAACAGG
rnacentral:rRNA from 1 species